rnacentral:rRNA from 1 species
CAAGGAGUCUAACAUGCGUGCGAGUCUUGGGGACUCGACAAAGCCCAGGGGCGGAGCGAAAGCGAGAGAGCGUCGGGAUCCUCCCGGUGGUGGAGGCGCACCGACGGCCGGUAGUGUCCGGCCCGAGCACGUACGUUGGGACCCGAAAGAUGGUGAACUAUCCCCGGGCAGGGCGAAGGCGGGGGAAACCCUGCGGGAGGCUCGAAGCGCUUCUGACGUGCAAAUCGAUCGCCAGACCCGGGCAUAGGGGCGAAAGACCAAUCGAACCGUCUGAUAGCUGGUUCCCUCCGAAAUUUCCCUCAGGAUAGCUGGCACUCGGAGAUCAGUCUCGUCUCGUCGAGCGACUGAUUAGGGGGGAUCGGGGUCCUCGAGGGCCUCGACCUAUUCUCAAACUGACAAGAGGCGAAGUGACCGUCCUUCGUGCUCGUGGUGGAAGGUCGGAAGGGUAGAGAUG